CACUGUCAUGGGUAUGAAGAAGUGGGUUUUUAGCAAAGACUUAAGUAUUUUUUUUAUUCAUGUAGAUUGUUGCAGGAAGGAUCAGAGCUAUAUGUGGACGCAGUGGCUGCUCUCCUCCCCUCCUUGCGCUGUGUAGCACGUAGUGCAUUUGUAUUCCAGAUCACAUGCAGACAGUAACCUGUAACUCUCAGGAAUAUGAUGAUGAUGGUGAUUGCUGCAUGACCUGAUUGCUGUAAGACAAUUGCCAAGGAGGAGCUCUACCUACUGCUGUUUUUGUCCCUACUUAAUUUACUUUGUAUAUUUUUGGGGGUUAUUUUGCUUUAUUAUACUACCUGUGAGUGAUUUUAUAUAGUUGUUGUUGGUGCCAGUACAGGUGGGCAGCCAUAUUUCUGUAGGUGGUGGGUCACAUGGUGGAGGUCUUCCUUUUGUCUGCUUCUCCCCUGCCUGUGUUUUGCAUGUAUAAUUUACUGCAUUUUGCAUGAUUAUUUUGAUUUUGUGUGAAACUUAUUGCGUGUCUUUUGUGUUGCAGUGCGUUUGACUUCCCUUUAUCCCGGCCUGGUGGUGGUGGUUCCCCCUUCCCCUUACUCACUCCCUCCUGCAGACUUCCCUGACACCCCCUCCCUUGUACUGGUAGCCAUUUUAGCCUGUCACUGUUGCGCAUUUUAAGUAUUGUGUGCAUUAUUGUAUAUUUAAAUAAAAUCUCAUAUUUGUCUAUACCUGGAAACGCAUGUCUCUGCUCCUCUUUUAUUAAGAACCUGGAUAGUAAGUGUGUCUUUCCCUGUGUGAAACUCCCAGG